ensembl:lncRNA
GGGCAGAGGCUGGAUUCAACCCUAGACAGCCCAAGAGCCCACUCUCUUAGCCAGAGCCUGGAGGGCCUUGUCUCAUCGAGGGUCCCCAUCCCCAGGCCUCCAUCACCCAAUCAUCCGCUGCUGCUGGAUUUGCCCUGAUGUUCAGUGGUCCUUGCUGUGUAACGAGUAUCCCACAUGUAAUGACAUCAAACAAGAACCAUGGGGCGGCUGGGAUCCGAGCAGGACUCUCCUGAGAAGGAACUUGCCAAGAGAACUGAGAAGGAACUAUCCAAGAGAACUGGGCAGAGGCUUGGGCUUGUUGGGACACAGCCUCGGAAUCACACAGCAUUCCUGCUGCCGCAGGAAGAAGCAGGCUUGGAAAGCCAUGCCUGACCUCUAAGGCUAAGAACAAUGCGAAGCCUCUGGACUCAUGGAUUCUUCUAGAAGCUCCUGUGGGCUCAGAAACGAUUUCUCCUCCUCCUUACCUUCUUCCAGUAAGUGAUGCUCCUCUCUCCCGGGCAAGCCCCAGGCCUCAGGGACUUUCUGCUGAUGUCAGAGUCAGUUGGAAGUUUGCUCUGUUCUCAGGCCUCCUGGCUGGGAAUAUUUUUACUUUUUUUUUUUUUUAAUAAUAUAUUAACUUAUGUUAACUUUUUCUCUUUAAAUAAAUGCAAACUUACAGAAG